CAGAAAGUGUAAUAAAGUUAAAAUAGUUCCUUGUAAUUCAUAGCAUUAUUGCAAUGCUUACAAAAUUUUUGCAUAGAGUGUGCAAGGAUUGAUGUUAUUCAAAACAAAACUAAAAAGCUCUUCUUACAUCACACCCAAAUCGAGAGAAAAACAAAAAAAAACAAGUUAAAAAAAAAUAAUCCAAAGGCGGUUAACAGAUGGCAAACUCUAUUACUGCCUCACAAAACACUACCUAUAAAUUAGGUUAGUUUUGUGUCCAUCCCAAAUUCAGGUUUGCAGACUCUUCCUUCUACUUUGCCAAGAUCUCCUGUGUCUGCUAGGGAACUUGACUGCUGGCUCUGGUGAUGUUAGUUCCAUGAGACCCUUUAAAGAUACCUUUUCCUAAU
rnacentral:lncRNA from 1 species